rnacentral:rRNA from 1 species
AUUGAACGCUGGCGGCAUGCCUUACACAUGCAAGUCGAACGGUAGAAGGGGCAACCCUUUGAGAGUGGCGAACGGGUGAGUAAAGCAUCGGAACGUGCCCAGUAGUGGGGGAUAGCCCGGCGAAAGCCGGAUUAAUACCGCAUACGACCUACGGGUGAAAGCGGGGGACUCGCAAGAGCCUCGCGCUAUUGGAGCGGCCGAUGUCAGAUUAGGUAGUUGGUGGGGUAAAGGCCUACCAAGCCGACGAUCUGUAGCUGGUCUGAGAGGACGACCAGCCACACUGGGACUGAGACACGGCCCAGACUCCUACGGGAGGCAGCAGUGGGGAAUUUUGGACAAUGGACGAAAGUCUGAUCCAGCCAUGCCGCGUGCAGGAAGAAGGCCUUCGGGUUGUAAACUGCUUUUGUCAGGGAAGAAAUCUUCUGGGCUAAUACCCUGGGAGGAUGACGGUACCUGAAGAAUAAGCACCGGCUAACUACGUGCCAGCAGCCGCGGUAA